UACGUAGGUGGCAAGCGUUGUCCGGAAUUAUUGGGCGUAAAGCGCGCGCAGGCGGCCUUUUAAGUCUGAUGUGAAAGCCCACGGCUCAACCGUGGAAGGUCAUUGGAAACUGAAAGGCUUGAGUACAGAAGAGGAAAGCGGAAUUCCACGUGUAGCGGUGAAAUGCGUAGAGAUGUGGAGGAACACCAGUGGCGAAGGCGGCUAUCUGGACAGAAACUGACGCUGAGGCGCGAAAGCUAGGGGAGCAAACAGG
rnacentral:rRNA from 1 species